GACGAACGCUGGCGGCGUGCCUAAUACAUGCAAGUAGAACGCAGUUGCGAACGGGUGAGUAACGCGUAGGUAACUGCCUCAUAGCGGGGGAUCACUAAUGGAAACGCUAGCUAAUACCGCAUACUGUGAGAUGGACCUGCGUUGUAUUAGCUAGUUGGUGAGUUAAAGGCGCACCAAGGCGACGAUACAUAGCCGACCUGAGAGGGUGAUCGUCCAAACGGGGACGGAGAGAUGGGCCAGAAGCCCACGGGAGGCGUCAGUAGGGAAGAUUCGGCAAUGGAAGGAAGGCUUAACGAUCAACGACGCGGGAGUGAAGAAGGUUUUCGGAUCGUAAAGCGAGGUUGGUAGAGAAGCGGUAACUAACCAGAAAGGGACGGCUAACUACGUGCCAGCAGCCGCGGUAAUUC
rnacentral:rRNA from 1 species